rnacentral:lncRNA from 1 species
CGUGCUCGUGUGAUUGUUUGGUUCUCGGAUGAUUUAGGUAUGUCGCGGAUUUAUUCUAAUAUAUAUAAUAUCAUGAUCAAAGGCAAGAAUGAAACAUAUGCUUGAAUUAUGGUGUUAGUCUUAAGAAAAAUAUGUGAAUGGAAUAAGAACUGUAUAUAGUUGUUGAUACAGUUUCUUGCGAUUUAAAUGACAGCUGCCUCAUGUUUGUAUGGAACAAGAGUUACCUACUUCUCAUGAAUUAAUAUAUCAUCAUUUUAGUAGUUCUCUUGAAUUAAUGGAACAAAUAGAUUGGAAAGGCAUGUAUCAAUAAUGAAUGACAUUGCUUGGAAUCUUUUAGUAUAUAUGUAGAAAUAUAGCAAAUGUAUAUAUAAUGUAAUCCUAAUUUACAUAACUUCUCUUCAAGUCCUAUCUGGAUUUGAAGUUAUGAAGAACCCCAUGUUUGUUCAGAUAUGCACACAUUUUUGUCACCCAGAGUCUUUGCAUUUAGGUUAUAUUAUUGAUUCAGGUUUAGUUGUUUAGAUCAAAACUAUAAUAUUGCGUGUAGAUUGACAAAUUAUUUGUCACUUUGUGGACUCCGUUUUGUUCAUCGGAAAGUUUUUUUCCAGUGCCCCAAGAACUUGGCUUUGAUUUUCUUCCAAAAAUGAAUUGAAAUUACUACGAUUCAUGCAAAUUACUUGACAAAGUAAAAUGUUUUCUGCAUAAUGGAUAGAUGUACUAUAUCUGGAUAGUGGAUAAAUGUACCGAUCAUAGAUUCCUAUACAGAUCUGAGGAAAGUAUUCUCAUUUAUUUAGCAUGCACCUGCAAUCAGUCAGAUAUAGGUUACGUUUUUCUGUUAUCCAAAAAAACACAUUAUAUUGCCUUUGUUUUUACAUAAAGAUGUAGAUGUUGAGAAGUAUAUUAUUUUGAGUUAUUUUGAGUCGGUCUAUUCUGUAACUUCGGGUUCUUUUGUUUGUGUGGAUACAUUUGUAAAGAAGUGACAUGGCUUAGUAACCCAUAUUAAAUUUUUCCAUUGUAUAGGGAAUAAAGGUGAGAGAGCAAAUGAGUUUCUGAAGUCAGAUGAGAUUAUAUAGCAGGUUGACUCUUUGUAGUGCUGGUUCAGAUGUAGGUCAGGUUACAUGUUAGCCAAAAAAACACAUUAUAUUGCCUUUGUUUUUUACAUCGAGGUGUAAAUGUUGAGAAGUAUAUUAUUCUGAUUGAUAAUAGUUUAAGGAGCAUUACAAAGGAUCGCUACAAAGAAUUUGAAGGAUUCAAGGAAAUGUUUUCUCAGUCUUAUCCAUCACAUAACUUUGGGUUCUAUCAUUUGUGUGGCACAUACAUUUGUAAAGAAGUGAACUGUAUUUGCAACUCUAAAUUUUAAUCAAUGCAAAUCGACAACUAAGUUGCCUGUUCUCUCAUGUAACUUUGUAAGGCAUGUAUAUUGUGUUAUUGCUAAAUUGAUCUUAUAUCUGCCUUAUCCACGUGUUCACUGUUUAAUAUGUAUUUGAUUGUAAUGGCCGAUAAAGAACUUGGUGGAUUUUUAAUUUAUGUGGGGACAAUAUACCUUUGUCUUUAAAUAUGAUUUUUUAUAUGUGGCAUGCCAUGCACUUAUAUAGGAUAAUCAAGUGACUUUUCUAUUAACUUAUUUGGAAUGACUUUUCCCGAUUUUGUGCUUUCUUUGAACCUUUAAAUUUCCUGGUUACCACCAAUACCAAACUUUGUAAUCUUUUAAAAGAGUGUAACUUCCAUAAUAAAAUAUGAAAC